UGGGGAAUAUUGGGCAAUGGGCGAAAGCCUGACCCAGCGACGCCGCGUGAAGGAAGAAGGUCUUCGGAUUGUAAACUUCUUUUAUUAGGGACGAACACAUGACGGUACCUAAUGAAUAAGCCACGGCUAACUACGUGCCAGCAGCCGCGGUAAUACGUAGGUGGCAAGCGUUAUCCGGAUUUACUGGGUGUAAAGGGUGUGUAGGCGGGACGGCAAGUCAGAUGUGAAAACUAUGGGCUCAACUCAUAGCCUGCAUUUGAAACUACUGUUCUUGAGGGUCGGAGAGGUAACUGGAAUUCCUAGUGUAGCGGUGAAAUGCGUAGAUAUUAGGAGGAACACCAGUGGCGAAGGCGGGUUACUGGACGAUACCUGACGCUGAGACACGAAAGUGUGGGGAGCAAACAGG
rnacentral:rRNA from 2 species